rfam:Bombyx mori DNA, contig: Bm_scaf40_contig23161, strain: p50T/Dazao, build 2, whole genome shotgun sequence.
UUAAUUCAAAUUUAUAUGCAGUUGGAAUGUUUGCCUACGUUUGCCGCUAGGGGCGCUGUUCCAACUGCAUACAAUUUUGACAUA